rnacentral:rRNA from 1 species
AUACUUCUUAUUGGAACUUAUCUGACCUCGGUUAAUCUCAAAAAGCUAAGCAAAGCUGGACUUGAUUAGUACUUGGAUGAGAGAUCAUCAGUAAAUCUCAAGGU